GGGGUGUGCUCAGAGCAGGGGGCCUGAAGAAAUGGCUCCUCAGUUUAUACCACACCCAACAGUAACUCGGGGUCAUUGUGUGGAGGGGCACAGAAUUCGGGCCCUUCCUGUGAGCAAGCACCCUACAUGU